rnacentral:rRNA from 1 species
GGUUAAGCGACUAAGCGUACACGGUGGAUGCCCUGGCAGUCAGAGGCGAUGAAGGACGUGCUAAUCUGCGAUAAGCGCCGGUAAGGUGAUAUGAACCGUUAUAACCGGCGAUUUCCGAAUGGGGAAACCCAGUGUGACUCGUCACACUAUCAUUAACUGAAUCCAUAGGUUAAUGAGGCGAACCGGGGGAACUGAAACAUCUAAGUACCCCGAGGAAAAGAAAUCAACCGAGAUUCCCCCAGUAGCGGCGAGCGAACGGGGAGGAGCCCAGAGCCUGAAUCAGCAUGUGUGUUAGUGGAAGCGUCUGGAAAGGCGCGCGAUACAGGGUGACAGCCCCGUACACAAAAGCGCAUGUGCUGUGAGCUCGAUGAGUAGGGCGGGACACGUGGUAUCCUGUCUGAAUAUGGGGGGACCAUCCUCCAAGGCUAAAUACUCCUGACUGACCGAUAGUGAACCAGUACCGUGAGGGAAAGGCGAAAAGAACCCCGGCGAGGGGAGUGAAAAAGAACCUGAAACCGUGUACGUACAAGCAGUGGGAGCCCCACCACUAAG